rnacentral:sRNA from 1 species
GCGUCCUGUUUUANCGAACNNGUCGGACGGCAGCACGGGUAGCAAUACUUGUGCGAGAUUGGCGAACGGGUGAGUAACAAAUAGGUGAUCUGCCUCUGGAUGGGGGAUAGCCCGUGGAAACACGGGGUAAUACCGCAUGAGGCCUUGUGGGUAGAGCCAUGAGGUGAAAGGUGCAAUUGCACCGUCUGGGGAUGAGCCUGCGGUCCAUUAGGUAGUUGGCGGGGUAACGGCCCACCAAGCCGACGAUGGAUAGCCGGCCUGAUUUUGUGUACGGCCACACUGGAACUGAGACUCUUUCUAGACUCCUACGGGGGGGGGCGGUGCG